rnacentral:lncRNA from 1 species
AUAUUAUAUUUUGAUUAUUAGUUACACUAUUUAUCGCGCCUAAAAGUGUAGUGUAUACUAGUCUGGGAGCCGUUUUUCUUGUGGCGAUUUUUUAAAUGAAUUAUCUACGUCAAUAUUGAACCCACGGGGGGCGCCUCACCCCUGCCUUCCCCAUGGACAGUCCAGCAAUGUCUGCUUCCACUCCCCCUGUGUUUCCAGACCCAGAGAGUGAAGCAAAGCCAGAAUCAACCACCACACUAGAUAAAUAGCCAUUACUGUGAUGAUGGAAUGCUGUCAGCGAGCAGCAUGGAAGACGCAGAGAGAGUGGUGGUCAGGUGGUGGUGGAGACAGGGAGAGUAUGUGGCCUGGAGAUUAAAAAACAGAACACCAAUAAUCUUGUGACCUCCAUGCAUCCUUCCUAAUGUCAAUAAAGUUGUCUUAUCAUGCCCAAAA